ACGCUGGCAGUGCGUCUUAAGCAUGCAAGUCAAACGGGAUGUAGCAAUACAUCUAGUGGCGAACGGGUGAGUAACGCGUGGAUGAUCUACCUACGAGAUGGGGAUAACUAUUAGAAAUAGUAGCUAAUACCGAAUAAAGUCAAUUAAUUUGUUAAUUGAUGAAAGGAAGCCUUUAAAGCUUCGCUUGUAGAUGAGUCUGCGUCUUAUUAGCUAGUUGGUAGGGUAAAUGCCUACCAAGGCGAUGAUAAGUAACCGGCCUGAGAGGGUGAACGGUCACACUGGAACUGAGAUACGGUCCAGACUCCUACGGGAGGCAGCAGCUAAGAAUCUUCCGCAAUGGGCGAAAGCCUGACGGAGCGACACUGCGUGAAUGAAGAAGGUCGAAAGAUUGUAAAAUUCUUUUAUAAAUGAGGAAUAAGCUUUGUAGGAAAUGACAAAGUGAUGACGUUAAUUUAUGAAUAAGCCC
rnacentral:rRNA from 1 species